AAACAGACUGUCAAUGAUGUAUUCAUGCUAUUAACUGGUACACUGUGAUGAAAUCUAGUUUUCGUCACUACCUCUGAGACAGUUUCAUA